UGAUAUUAGAUACCCCAUAUAUCAUUUUUUAUAUAAUAUUUAAUUUGAUAAAUAGAGGGAUAUUUGACUUGAAAAUUGGAAGUGUAAGCAGUUGCAAACUUUUUGAUUUCCGCGUCCAUUUAUUAAAGUGAAGGAAACUUUUUCAGCUCUAAAGAACUUCACUUUCACAAACUAAAAAAAAAAAAUCAAAAACAAGCUCCAAAAAUCUCAAACUUCAGUUCUCUUUCAUUGUUUGAAGAUCAUUACCAAGAGGGUAUCGCCACUGGAGAAGCUCACAAAGAAAGAGAUCGAAGAAGAUUUCAUCUCUCUAUUAGGUCACAAACCUCCUCGUCGACCCAAGAAGCGACCAAGGAACGUUCAGAGGAAAUUGCAUGUAAGUCAAAUGUUCUCAAUGUGGUUUGCCUACAUAUUAAUUGUUUUAGUUUUCUAGUCUCAAAAUUGUAGAGUUUGGAGGGAAUCUAGUUGAAAAAUCAAGUAUUUUGAUGUCAUACUUAAUGUGUAUUUCAUAGUGAAGCUUUUGGGUUUUUCAAAUGAAGUAAUAUACUCUACGUUUACUUGUAUUAGGGUGUAAUUUACAAGGCUGGAAUCUUUCAUAUAAUGUUAGCCUCAUCACAUAUGUGUUUUUAGGAAUGUUUAAUUAUAACUGAUGUCGAGAUAAUGAUUAUAAUAGUUUCUAAUUAAAUUGACUCAAAAUAGACAAAUUGUAAAAGGAUUAUACUAGAAUCUGUCGUCCCCAUCAUGAUUUCAAUAUUUAUAAGGUUCGACUUUAUUACGUUGUUAGUGGAGGAACUGUGUUAAUGAGGGUUCAUUCAGAGCCUUUACUAGAGUCUGAAAGCUUAAUCUUAACAUAGUAAUCUUGGGGAAGAAGCCUAUUCAUCAAUAGAUUUUGUUGUAACACUAUUCUCAUAUUUUUUUGUUCUUUUUUUUUUUAACUUAUAUUUUGGUUAGAUCAUUCAUGGCCUUUGUAUUCCCUUCUCGGUCAAGUUUUUAUUCUCAUACUUCGUGUUGGUGUCUUUUUGGUAAAAACUGUUUGCUGUGGAUUAUUUUAUUCUAUACAUGAUUUUAUUGCUAAAAGUGCUAUUACUCCAUAAUGUUCUGUGUCUUCUUAAGAGGCUGCUGAGGCUUAUUGGAAGGGUAUACUGAGAAUUUAUAAGAAAAAACUUUGAUUCUUAUACUAUAAUAAAUAAACACCCUUGUAAAUGAUUGAAUAUUAGUCUAUAUAAGAACAAGCUUUGAUUCUAAUAAGCCUGUUCUUCUUGCCUCUAAUAUAAAAUUUGAGUUGACUUUGAUAGAUUUCAUUCAGGUACUGAUUUAUUUAGAAAAUGUUAAUAGAUUUGUAUGUGCAAUAGAGCUAUAUGAACAAUAAUAUUAUAAUUUUUAGAAUAAAUAGUAUUUUUGCCUCCCAAACUUUUUACCCUAUCAAAUUUUGCCCCUAAUAUAUACUGCUUGUUACGGAUAGUCCUCAAAUUAUAACGAAUGCAGAAAUGUAGUCCUUCCGUUCACUUUUGUUUAUUUUUGCCGUUUAUUGACUUAUAUGCCAGUAUCAUUUUAAAUAAAAAAUGAUGUGGCAAGACAUGUGGAUAUUAAUUUUAGGUGAUGUGGCUAUUUUAAUGUAACUUAAAUAUUUUUUUUGUUUUUUUUUAUAUUAAUGAAUUAAAACAACAAAUUAAAUAAAAUUAUUUUAAAAAGAUAACUAUAAACCCUCAAACCCUAGCUGCCCUUUCCUAUUUCCUCUCUCUUCUUCACGCCUUCUUCACGCACGGUUGUGUUCUUCAACCUGCUGAACUUUUUUUCAGAAAAAAAUUGGAUAGAUAAAAUCUGGGCUUCAAGCACGACGAUCUUCACGCCCGUGUUCUUCCCUUUCAAUUUUUUAAUGUCUUCAUCAUCUUAUUCUUAUAAAAGUGGAGAUAGAUCUAUGAAUAUGUAUGAAUGGAGACCACUGGAGUGUAAAUGUGGUUUAGAAUGUGUUGAACGGACUUCUUUGACAAAAGAUAAUCCAAGGAGAAGGUUUUUUGGGUGUCCAAGAUGGAAGGUUUGUUUAAUUUUUUUUUUUUGGAUAUUAUUUUAGUAUUGAAAAUUUGUUAAUGGGUUUUUGUUUGGUUUUAAUAGAGUAAUGUUCAGAUUGGGUGCCGUUUUUCAAAAUGGAUUGACCCACCAACUCCAAGGAAUGAUAUAAAUUUGGUUAAAAGGCUAGAGAUGAUUGAGAAGAAUGUAAUGGCACUGCAAAAUCAUGUUGAAAAAUCUGAUGAAGAAAUUAGAAGAUUGAAGAAAUAUUUCAAAUUUGCCAUAUAUGUUGUUCUUGCAAUUUUGUUGUGUUCUUAUUUUUAUUAGAUUUGUUAAAUAUUUUUUUUAAUAUUGUACUCUUGACAAACUAGAAUGAAGAUGUAAUUUUUUUUUUGUUUGAUA